rnacentral:rRNA from 1 species
GCACAAGCAGCGGAGCGUGUGGUUUAAUUCGAUGCUACACGAAGAACCUUUACCAGGGUUUGACAUGCUAGUGGUAGGAAACCGAAAGGUGACCGACCCUUCGGGGAGCUAGCACAGGUGCUGCAUGGCUGUCGUCAGCUCGUGUCGUGAGAUGUUCGGUUAAGUCCGCUAACGAGCGCAACCCUCGCUGUGUGUUAUAUGUGUCACAUGGGACUGCCGGCCUUAAGCCGGAGGAAGGUGGGGAUGAUGUCAAGUCAGCAUGGCCUUUAUGUCCUGGGCUACACACACGCUACAAUGGUCAGCACAAUGGGUCGCUAAGCCGCAAGGUGGAGCCAAUCCUCAAAGUUGGCCUCAGUUCAGAUUGUAGGCUGCAACUCGCCUGCAUGAAGAUGGAGUUGCUAGUAAACGCAGGUCAGCCAUACUGCGUUGAAUACGUUCCCGGGGCUU